GAUGAAGAACGUAGCGAAAUGCGAUAAGUAAUGUGAAUUGCAGAAUUCAGUGAAUCAUCGAAUCUUUGAACGCACAUUGCGCCCCUUGGUAUUCCGAGGGGCAUGCCUGUUCGAGCGUCAUUAUAACCCCUCAAGCUCAGCUUGGUGUUGGGGCCUGCUGCACUGGCAGCCCUUAAAAUCAGUGGCGGCGCCAUCUGGCUCUAAGCGUAGUAAUUCUUCUCGCUAUGGAGUCCUGGUGGAUGCUUGGCAGCAACCCCCAAUUUUUCUAUGGUUGACCUCGGAUCAGGUAGGGAUACCCGCUGAACUUAAGCAUAUCAAUAAGCGGAGGA
rnacentral:misc_RNA from 1 species